GUCACAUAACUCAGAGGUCAGAGGACCAGGACUAUAUAAAACUUGCCGCUUGAGGUCUCGGGGAGUUGGUAAGCUGUUUUCUUAAAAGCAGCGGUUUAUCUUCACUACUGAGUGACUUUUCAGACAACUUCAGAACGUAUUAAGAAUCACCCUUGAAUUAUGAGAGUGGAGUGAUCCGUUGACGGUACCACAUGCUUCAGGAAUGUCCUCAAAGGAUCCCUGAAGAGGCCAAACAAGCUCAUGAGAGUCCCUGGUUCGUGACUUGUCAAAAUGGAAGAAGCUACAUGUAACAAGAGGGAGAAGAGGUAUGACCACAUUACAUCCUCUCCUCUAGCUUGAAGGGGUGGCUGUUCAACUACACAAUGGGCUGUGGAACAGGAAGUAGAAGUAGGAAACAUGGCCCAAGACUCAACCUUGCCCAAGACUUACACUUCCUUCACUCACCAUCCUAUUCAGCUACAUUUGCUUCAGAACUCAGGAAUAGACAAUGGGAUUGGGUAAUGGCUGUUUGUCAACAAGUUAU